UACAGAGGUCUCGAGCGUUGUUCGGAUUCAUUGGGCGUAAAGGGCGCGUAGGCGGCGGGGUAAGUCUGGUGUGAAAUCUAGGAGCUCAACUCCUAAACUGCACUGGAUACUGCUCUGCUGGAGGACUGGAGAGGAGACUGGAAUUCACGGUGUAGCAGUGAAAUGCGUAGAUAUCGUGAGGAACACCAGUGGCGAAGGCGGCUCGCUGGGCCGGUCCUGACACUGAGGCGCGAAGGCGUGGGGAGCGAACGGG
rnacentral:rRNA from 1 species